AGUAACGCGUGGGCAACCUGCCCCAUACAGGAGGAUAGCCACUGGAAACGGUGAUUAAUACUCCAUAAGACCACAGCAACACAUGUUGCAGAGGUAAAAACUCCGGUGGUAUGGGAUGGGCCCGCGUCUGAUUAGCUAGUUGGUAAGGUAAUGGCUUACCAAGGCGACGAUCAGUAGCCGACCUGAGAGGGUGAUCGGCCACACUGGAACUGAGACACGGUCCAG
rnacentral:rRNA from 1 species